rnacentral:misc_RNA from 1 species
AGUUGCCAUUGUUGAAAUGCUAUGUCGGGUUUUUUUUUUUUUAAUUAAAAAUUUUAAUCGACAAACUUUGUUAUAACCAUAAAAUGAACAAUUAAUUGUCCACACAAACAUUAUUUGCUAUUAUUAUCUUAAUAGGCUUCCUGUCAUAUCAGAUCUGAUGAGUUGUAAAAAAGAAAAACCCCGACAUAGCAUUUCAACAAUGGCAACU